GCCACAAAAAGUUCAAAUAAUUGGCUUGAAAUCGUCCAAGUACCUUGAAAGCUCAAAAUUUGGCUAAUAUUGACCCAAUAGCCUGAAAUUUAGCUCAAAACGGAACUAGAUACCCGAAAAGUCUAAAAUUUGGCUUAAAAUGGUUCUACAUGUCCAAAAAGCCUGAAAAUUGGGCUAAAGUUAACCAAAAAGCUUCGAAUUUUGCUCGAAUAUACUAAAAAUUAGAAAAUUAGCCUAUAAGUUACCCAUAAGCUAU
ensembl:snoRNA Y92C3B.4 ncRNA